rnacentral:lncRNA from 1 species
GGACCCUUAAAACAUUUUCAUUUGAAAUUAUUUGGUGAAGUGAAAAAGUUAAGAAAGAAAUAGUUGUCCCUUUGGUCAUUUCACAAAAAUGAAAGCCCCAUAUAACAUGGACUUGAAUGGAAGCCCAAUUGUUGUGUUUGAUUUCAAGCUUUAUCGGACCUUUGGACCUGGAUACUUUACUGCGGCCUCUAAGCGCUACAAAUUUUUUUUUUGGGAUAAAAGGCGCUUCAAUGAAAAAGCACUUUAAAACUUUGGAUUUUGCCAAAACUUCAAAGCGGUUGGUCCAGUUACGGUGUUAUGCUAACGGGUUUAAAGGUUCCGAUCCAAUGAGUUAGGGUGGAAUAUGAAUAUAUAAAUCCUAGUCAUGUAAGGACUAGGAUUUGUUUGUUCAUAUCAAGAAAAAAAAUCUGAAAAUUUGAUGAUCAGAAGAUAAAAACACUUAAACACGUUUAUUACAGAGAAACAAACGACAACAUGAUGCUAGUAGUAAUUUUAUUUUUCUUUUAUUGUGUAACGUGGACCAAAAAAAAGGAAAUGAAUUUAAUAAAACCGUCAUUCCGCAAUAAUAAUGUACCAGCCUGGUUUUUAUAAUCCAUACCAUCCUGAUAUAAUUAAACACCAUUAAUAAUGUACCAGCCUUUAAAUAGUAAUUAAUUUAUUUAUCUAAUUCACCAAAUGUCAUUUCCGGUACAUAUCUCCUGGUAUCAAGAAGAGGCAGAACCCAAAGAAACGUUUCUUGUAUCUUCAUAUUUGUGCGAAUUCAUCCUUUCAUUGAGAAUAACCAUUUCCAGGCGGCAGUUGGCAAUCAAUUCAUGCGCAAGUCGAUGCUAUUCAUAGAUAUUAAAGACAAUGAUGAACCAAAGGUGAUAAAUCAUAAAUGCAUAAUUACCAAACCUCCAUCCUUCUCUCAUUAUGAUUUGAUUUUAAAUGAAUUAUUGCUUGGUAACAUUAUUUCCAACCAUUGCAAGAUUAUUAUUAUUUUUUUUUGGGGAGAAAUUUCAAUUGAAAGUGAAACCUUUAGACAUUUACCUAAUGAAGUUAGUUAAUGGGGAGGGUUGGAAAAAUUCCCAAGCCGUUGCACAGCAAUUACGAUCAUCCUCGGCCUCAGGUAAUUUCUUCUCCUGCAUUUUUGUUAUUUGCUAUCAAGUGACAUUCGUAAGUAUGAUUGUAUUAAGCUGCUGCUGGGAAAUAUAAGGUUUUGAUGGCUGCCCAUGCUAUUGUCAGAAGCUGCGGUUCUUUUCAUCAGCCUGAACCUGGACCUGUCGCCAUGGAUAACUGAGGUUUUUUUUUUUUUAAAUCAACUACGUCAUCUUUUCCACUGUUUUGAAACUCUUAAGAUUAAACUUUAGUAAAGUUGUUUUAGUUAUCCAUGUAAUCAGGCUGAGGAUACUUAGCUGCCUAUUUAGGCAAAUGUCAGACUUUAGUUUGUUCGCUGGGAACUGGUGUGGUGACAGCGUCCUGGCAAAGGAUGAUGAGAUAGUUUUUUGAUUGAGUAAAUUUUGGGGGCUUGAGUAUAUUGGGAUUUGCAAUUACAAUUAUCCUCUGCCUCAGGUGAUUUCUUCUCCUGCCCUGUCGUUGUUUGUUCUCUAAUUCAAAAUUAUAAAAUAUUUCAUCAAAUUUUAUGCCGGGAAUAUGCAAAAGUUUCUAAUAUUUUAUUUCCAUCUGUUUGUCUUGAUAACUUUGCAGCAUAUGUACUAGUUAAAGAACAAAUCGAAACAGAGUUCAGUUAAAAGUUUCUUCUGCCGUCAUAUUUGAAAAAUGAACCCAUUUCCAGGAAGCAAUGGGCAGCAAAUUCAUAUAAAGCGUAGACAAUGAUGAGCAAACAGGUGAUUCACAUUAAUGAAAUUAAUUGUUUGGUUGGAGCGGACAUUGUUAGAAGGCUAUUGAGCUAACCUAUGUCACUACUUGCCUAGAUUACAGGGGGUCAAAACUCAAAAGCGGCAUUGAAUUUUAAAAGGCAUCCAAUAAUUCUUGUGGCCAUAUAUCAAUUCAUGUAUGUUUGAAUGUAAUUAUUGGUGAAGGGGUUUCACUUCCCGUCUCUAAAUAAAAAUACUGAUUCUUUAAGGUACCUGCCACUAGGGAUUGCGAGAUUAAUGAGUCUUUGGACAUUGGAAGAGCUCCUUGUGAGUGGAGGAGGAGGUGUUGAUGGUAGCAAAGCAUGUGGGCAGUGGGCUUGAAUCUCUAAAAAACUUGGAACUCCUCCAAGCGUAAGUAUACGUAUACUGGGAAAUUUGUUAGAUGUGGAUGAGGCUAAGAGAUUAGAGCUUGACAAAAUGAAAUACCUCUUUCAUUGAGACUUAAAUUUGAUGGGGAAGAAGAAAAAGAAGAGGGAAGGAGGAAGAAUGAGGAUAAUCAACUUGUUCUUGAAGCCUUGCAACCACCUCUGAAUUUGAAGGAAUUAGAGAUUUGGUCAUACAGAGGCAACAUUGUUUCCCCCCGGAUGAUGCAAAAAUUGAAGGAAUUUACCAAUCUAAGGAGUUUGACACUCUUUAAAACUGCAAAAAUUGAGAGCAGUUGCCUCCUUUGGGAAAAUUGUGAUCCUUUGAAAAUCUCAGCAUAUUGUACAUGGAGAGUGUGAAAACAGUGGGUAAUGAAUUUCUGGGAAUAGAAAGUCAUCUUCAUGACUCAUCUCCAUCUUUAUCAGUUAUUAUUGCCUUCCCCAAAUUGAAAUCACUUUCAGUUGAGGGAUUGAUGGAAUUGGAGGAGUGGGAUUAUGGGAUUAAAAGAACAGGAAACACCUUCACCAACAUUAUGCCACGUCUUUCUUCCUUGGAAAUUAGUGUGGGGUUAUGGGAUCGCACAACCACGUUGAAGGUAUUGCAGAUUGUGGCAUGUGGUACUCUAAGAAGACGUUGCAGACAGGGGAGAGCAGAAGACUGGCCUAAGUUCUCUCACAUUCUAGACAUCAUGAUUGUGUGAAAAGAGGCCCUUGACAAAAUUCUCUAGGCGGCUACAUGGAGUACAAUCAUAAAAUGCUAAUGUGGCCACCCUGGUUCUUAAUUAAGGUUGUGAAAUAUUAUUGUAAAAGAUGAUUAAUUCAAUUUGAGUCAUUCGUUUGCUUUGAUAAUGAUAGUAAUUUUAUAUUUUGACAAUUUGCAAGGUGAGAAUGGUGCUGAUUGGUGAUACAGGAUACGGUUCAAACACCAUUGAAUAAAGCUACGGACAUGGUGGCUCAACUUAGCUAUUGCUGUCAAAAUUGGUAAGUUGGCUUGUCAAUGUAUUGAUGCUUUUGUUUUCUCUCAACCCUAAUUACCUUACCUUCAUUUAGUUUGGCUUUGGAGUUGAGUAAUAACUUUCAAGGUUCUCAAACAGAGCAGGACAACCGAAAAAAAAAGCUUAAUUUGCUACUGAUCACGUGUUACCAAUUAUUAAGGUAAUUCUCGUUUACUUGCUUCUACACUAUAGAGUACGUGUUCUGGCUGGUUUAUCUAAUUCAUCAAAUGUUAUUUCCUUAUUGUUCCAUUGAUAUAUUUGUUAGAAAGUGAAACCAUUUCCAGGCAGCAGUUGGCAGUGAAUUCAUGCAAAUGUUGAUGCCAUUCAUAGAUAUUGAAGACAAUGAUGAGCCAAAGGUGAUAAAUCAUUAAUGCAUAGUUACCAAAACCUCCAUCCUUCUCUCAUUGUAAUUUGAUUUGAAAUGAAUAAUUUCUAGGUAAUUGAAGCCAAUAUUGUUAGAAACGGUGUUGAGCUACCCAAGCUAAGAAGUUGGCUGCCAAAAAAUGCAGGGGAUCAAAAGAAGCAUUGCAUUUGAAAAGGAAUGAGAUUCUGGUUGCUACAUGUCAAUUCGUAGAAGUUUCAAUAAAUUUAAUGGUUCAAGAUUUUAGUUUCUGUUUAAAUUUGUGCUACUGCAGUGCUGCAGUGCUGCUACUGGGAAAUUUAAAUCCCAUAUUAGACUUUCCUCACAUAAGAAGCUGUGGAUCUUCGGACAUCAGGUUUUUUCACAGUUCUGAAACUCUCAGGAUUAAACUCUAUUAAAGUUGUUGUAGUUGUCUACGUUCUCAGGUCAAGGAUUCUAAGCUGCCGAUUAAGGCAAAAUGUCAGAAUUCCCCUAUUAUUUUUUUUUUCAUGUAAAAUUAUGUUGUUGUCUUCGCCCAUGAAUCUUAGCUAAAUUCUGAACCAAUUGUUUGCUAUUAUAAAUUUCAUUGUUAAAUAUUAAUUGUGAUGUUGGUGUUGAGUUUCUUUUAAAGUCAGAGAAGCCUGACGAUUGAGUUCCAUGGGAUUCUGAGAAGCAGUAAUAUUUUGAACAAGUGAAGGUUCUUCGUUUUUACAGUAUGUGCAGAUGUCUAAGAGGCAGGAUUUUUAUUUCUGUAAUGCUAAAUUUCGCAAAACAAUAAAAAUAAAUAAAUGCAUGACAGUGACUUCAAGAAUUUAGAUUAUUGAAUUUGGUCAUUUUAAAAUUGUUGGAAUGUUGAACUUAAGUAAUUUUUAUAAACCAGAGCUCAGAAAUGUAGAAUAUAAAUAUUGGAGAUUUGGACUUCAAUCAUUAGACUUGAAGCUAAAGAGGUAAGCCAUUAAUUAUAUCAAAGGAUUUGGAAAAUGGAGGGAUUGGAAAAAGGAAACAUUUUCAUAAACUUCAAGAGGAACGUCACAGAAAGGGGUAAAGAGAAGAGUAGCCUAAGAUAUUAAAGACAAUGUUGAGCCAAAGGAAACAUAAAUCCCAACCAUUGCAUGUGAACAUGAUCACAAUAAGGUCAAAAACCAUUUUUUUGAGAAUUUUCAAUUGAAAGUGAAACCUUUUGACAUUUACCUAGUAAAGUUAGUUAAACGAGAGAAAUAAAGGGGAAAAGAAAAGUUGACUCAAGUCAAUACAGAAUAAUUAGUUCAAUCUGGAGUAACUAAAACAGAGCCACUAUAUUUUCAAAAAUAUCUGCAUUCAUCACCUUCUCCUCCAGCUAGUGAGCUACACACGAAUCCUUUCCUUUUAGCAUUUUUGCAGCAUCAAUUUCUCCCCUCGUUUGUCAUCAAUUUCUCCCUUCGUUUCACCAAUACCAUGGCUGAUGCAAUCGUUUCCCCUCUCUUGGAGCAGCUGAUUAUCUUUGCUGCUGAAGAGUUGAAACAACAGGGGAAGCUGGUGAGUGUUGGAUGAGUGGAUCACAGCAUGCGCCAAAUCGCAAAAUAGAUCAAUGCUCUUGGUGCUCCUUAUCUGAAGAAGAAGGUGCAAAUUGGGAGCUGCAUUUCACUGUCAUAACAUUUAUUGUAAUUUCAUUUGGAGAUAUGUAAUAUCUGUUGUCCAGAUACAUAUCAUACACCAGUUGCUAUGUAAUUUCGUUUAGGUUCAUUUUUGUUUCUUAAGAGUUUGUAAAAAGAAUGGAAAGAUUUUAAAAUAUAAAUUUCAUAUCUGUUUAUUACUGUUGUUUGGUCUAAUUUCUUAUGUAGAAUUUUCAGAAUCUGUAGGACAUUAGUUUAUAAUUUUGAGAUUUUGCAGCCAUAAAAAAAAUUUUUUUUUUUUGCCAUUUUAUUUUGCUCCUUUAUCUAUGUGCAUGUUGACUGGCUGCAGUGAGUGAAAAUUUACCUAUAUAUGCUGGCUAUUCUUGGACAAUAUUAGAGAAAAUAAUCAUAUUAUUUCGCGUGAUGUGAACUUCCAUAACUUAUCAAUUGAAUUGCUGUAAAAUAUUAAAUAGUUUUAUUUUUCUUUUAUCGUGUAACUUGGACCAAAAAAGGAAAUGAGUUUAACACGACCCUCAAUAUAACCUCCAUUUCAGCACAAUACAUGUUAAUUGUUCCCCAAGGACUUCUCCUGUUUCCCAUUCCCACCUCCAUGCUCUCGAGAGGAAUUUAGCACCCAUCAAUUUUUAUUUUUGAAAACUCGUAAUGGUCUGAUAAAAUUAAACAACAUCAAUAAUGUUACCAGUCUUUAAAUAGUAAUUAAUUUAUUUAAUUUGCCACCUAAAAGAAUCCUGCUGGAAAUAGAGGUUAAAAAUUUUAUUAGAUCUGCUUACCUUUGUUCAUUCAGCAAAAACACUUACAAUUCACAGCUAGAGAAUCUAUCCAUUGACAAUUGUGGAUUAAAAUUAUAACACCUGAAUUCAAACAUAUCCUUAUGAAGUUAUGAAUUUGUUCAUACUUCAAAUGAUUUUUUUUUCCAAGCUAAUAAAGCAACCACUUUGAUCAAACGACGACGUUGAAGGAAUUACGUAUUUUCAAUGUCCUUUUCCAGACAGAUGUUGGAGAGAGGGAAAGGAGAAGACUGGCCUAAUUAAGAUAUCUCACAAAGAUUAUUGAGUUAAAAUGUUAUUGUAAAAGAUGUUUAAUACAAUAAUAGUAAUUCUUUUGCAUUGUUAUAAUGAGGCUGGUGGGUUUCCUCAGAGGAUGGAUAUGGCUCGCUAGCAUGCAUUUGGGAAGAUGCUAAUUAUCGGCCAUAAAAAGUCAGGGGGUUGUGGCUCUUCCGUCGCCCAGAAAUUCCUAAACUCAUAUAUCAAACUUCAGAUGAACUUGGGCAUUAUGUAAAUAUGUAUUUUUGAGAAUUAAACUAGUGCGUUCGAAAAAUUUUGAGCCAUUGUAAUCAUUUUAUUUUGCUAAGAGAAAAUUUUACUUUGUUUCGCUUUGCCUUUUGUUUUUUCUGUGAUAAUAUGAUUCAUACGAAUGUGAUUACACACUAUCAUGCAUCUAUUUUCAUUUGCUUGUCAUGAAUGGUCAACAUGCUCGAAAUAUUUACUUAGGUUGGAAAUAUUUGAAUCCACUAAAAUACUAUACAAACCCAUUUUAAAAUUAAAAAAAUGAUUAUCAUAAUACUCGUGAAGAUAACACGAUAUCAUACAUAAAAUAAAAUAUUUCGCAAAAAAGAUAAGAUACAAAUCUUGAGUAAAUAGGUACAAAAAAUAUUUUAGUGGGUUAAGUAGCACUAAUGCCCCCUUAUCAAAAAAUAAAUAAAAAUAACUAGUCUGAUUGGGUAUACCGUUUAUAUAUAUGUACAUAUUCUUGAUAAUGUGUAAUGUACAUUAUAGACAAAGAUUUUGAAAGCAAUAUUUUUUAAAAAGUCGAGAGAAUAGGAAAAGUCUAAAUCAAUUUUCUAAUCUCUACCUCCUUUAUGAUUUAAACUUUAGUGUUUAGUGUCGCGAGCCACUCAAAUUUUCUAAUCAAAGAGACUAAAUUGCACGAAAUUGUGCUAGCUUAUUUGAUUCUAGAAAUUUCUACUACACUGUAACACACUCUCACGUAGGGAUGGCAAUGGGGAGGGGAGGGGAGGGGACCAAUCUCCCCAUAUCCAUCCCCGAUAUUUUACAUAUGUCCCCGUCCCCGUCAGAAUUGCUUGAGAGAAUCCCCAUCCCCUCCUCGAAUAAUAACAGGGGAUCCCCGAGGGUCCCCGGUCCCCGAAUAACUAAUAAUCUAAUACAUUUUUUUAUUUUCGAUUUUAAAUUAAUCAUAUUAAAAUAAACUCAUACCGCUAUUGUAAGCUCGUAACCAAUUUUGACAGCACAUUAAGGCCUCCAAUGUGCUUGGAUGAAGUCUGUUAUGGUAUGGGCUCACAACUCUACCACUAGUGUUAAAAGCUGAUUCAGAAGCAACUGUUGUAAUUGGAAUUGCCAAAAUAUCUCUAGCAAUUCGAGCUAAUGUAGGAUACCUAUUAGCAUUUGUCUUCCACCAACUCAAAAUAUUAAAAUCUUCCAUCCGAGGUAUAACUUUCUCAUCCAAAUAUGAAUCUAAUUCAUCUGCAACAACUGCACAAUCUCCAUUGUUUACAUAAUCAUCAAAACCUAUCAUCCAUUUGGUUGCUUUCUUAUAAGAAUCCCCUGUAGAUCUAGUAGAAGAACUACUACCAGUAUAAUCAAAGCAAUAAACAGUUGGUGAAAACUUCAAUUAAUACUCUUCAACUAAUUCCCGGCAAAGGAUGACCACUUUCCCAACAUACAACUAUUUUGAUAUUUAUUAUUUUUAACAAUAUUUAUAAUUUUGUUAUUUAUUUAUUAGUAAUUUUAAAAAUAAAAAUAAAAUUAAAAAUUAAAAUGGGGAAAUGGGUAGGGGAUGGGGAUUCCACCUCAUCCCCGUCCCCUCCCCGAAUAAAAAAUUGGGUAAAAAAUUUUCCCCGUCCCCUCCCCGAAAAAAAAAUUGGGUAUAAAAUUAUCCCCGUACCCUCCCCGAAUGGGGAAAAUCCCCGAGGGUAUCCGUCCCCGUGGGGAUUUUUGCCAUCCCUACUCUCACGCUUGUACAUACCUCGAAAUUCUCUAGAAUUUACUAGAGUAGUGUUGCAUGUAGCUUGUACAUAGGUUUUUCUGGAACACUCCAGGCAUUACUAAGCAUGAGAGCCUUGAGAACUCUCUAGCCAUAAAACAUUCUAGGGUAAGCCUACCCUAAAAAUAGGGCAUGAUGCUUGCCACUUGAGCAUACAACAAGUAAGAACAAAUCAAGCAUACUUGUGAGCUCUCAAACUCUCUUAUACACACUUUUAUGAAUAAUAUAUUCUCUCUUUGGCUAUAUUGCUCUCUCUUCUCUCUAGUUUUUUUCGCAAGCAUCAAACCUUAGUUAGUCGAAAAAUUCAAGGCUUACUUUAUAGCUAUCUCGUAAAAGUUGUUUAAGUACCAUAGAGAUUUGCUGUGCAAAAUACUCAUCACAUGACAUUAGCUAAAUAAAAUUGUUUGAAAGCCACUUACCCAAACUAUUAAACGAAUAUUGACUUUUGUCUUAAUUUUCUAUCUCCUACGAUAAAUUUUAUAGUUAAAAAUUGAAAAAAAUUAAUAACUAUUAGAUAGAGCAUUCUUUAUUGUUAAAAGAAAUCUAUAUAGAUAGAUAGAUGGUAAUAUAAAAACUUACUUAUUGUAGUAUAAUGUUUUUAGUUUUUUGAAACACAGAUUCUCACUUUUUAAAGAUAAAAUUCAAAGAAAACAAGUUAAAUGUUGUAGAAAAUCUUCCAGCCAUACAAGAAAUUGUGAUGGCUAAAUGCAAACCUAACUAAAGUAUUAGUUGUUUUAUUACAAUCUCCAAAAAGAUGAGCAAUUCCAAAAUCUUUUUUUGUGACAAUAAACACUACACGUCAGUAAUUAUCCAGGUCAAAAGCAAGCUACUCUAUUAAAAAAAAAAAAAACUUGCAGUGAAUUCGAAGAUAAACCAAUUUUACUAGCAAGUUGGAUACAAAAGAGUAGGGCUUCGGCCUCAAUUACUCAGUGUACCAACAACUCAAUCUCGGUGAGUUAAAAUCAACUUCCAUCAGUCUUUUAUUUGUUGAUAGAUCGAUUAAGGUACCAAAAAGAAUAAUUAAAGAUGUAUUAGUUCAAGUUAAUAAAUUCAUAUAUCUUGUGGAUUUUAUUAUUUUGGAAACUGAACCAAUUGCUAAUGAAUGCAAACAAAUUCCUGUUACAUUGGGUCGUCCAUUUUUAACUACUGCUAAUACAUUGAUUAAUUGCUGGAAUGGAGUAAUGAAUUUAUCUUUCGGCAACAUGACAUUGGAACUUGAUGUGUUCAACAUAUGUAAACAACCUCACCACCAGGAAGAUGAUGAUAAUGAGAAUUAGGAGAUUGAUUUCAUCGAGCCAAUCAUUGAGGAACACAUUCAGAAUAAGAAUUUUACAAAUUCUGUGGAAAUUUAUUCUUCUUGUUCUUUUGAAUCGAGUAAAGAAUUAAAUUAUGAUACUGCUAACAUAUAACCUACAAUUGAUUCUAUGCAGGUACAUGCUGACAAUGGCCAAUCAAACUUUAAAGAUACAGAACAACCUGAAGAACCAAACGAAGAGCAAGUACCAGAGCUCAAAUUAAAGCCCUUACUGGAAGAAUUGAAGUAUGUCUAUCUUGGAGAACAACAGAUUUAUCCUGUGGUAAUUUUUUUCCCAACUCACGCUUGAUCAAGAAGGUAAGUUGUUGUCUGUACUAAAAAGGCAUAAAACUGCAUUUGGCUGGACUUUAAAAGACAUAAAAAACAAUAAUUCUUUAAUCUGCACACACCGAAUACACUUAGAGGAAAAUACCAAAACAACCCAUCAACAUCGACAUUAUAUGUGUAAACAUUAAAUACCAAAAUCAACCCCAAAAACUAUAAAUAAAAUAUCAUGAUUAAAAUGAAGUUUUUUUUUAGAUAUUCGUUGUAGUAUCUCUUUAGAUCGCAAACAAGAGAUAAAAUAAAUAAAUAUUUGCUAUGUAAAUAAAAAUAAAUAAUUUUUUUUAACUGAAAAAUAUUCUCAAAAACUAAAUAGUUCAAACUUUUUUUAACAUCAUGUGUUUCUAGGGUUGGGCAUUCAGUUCGGUUUUUACCGAACCGAACAACUAAAUUAAAUCGAAAUUACCUGUUCGGUUCAAUUGAAUAGACAAAAACCGAAGAGUUUAUAUUUUCAUGAACUGAAUGAUUUGUGUUUCAGUUGAGUUCGGUUCGAUUCUGGACCUGAACCGAACCGAACCGAUCCGUGAAUCGUAAACUGCCCACCCUUACGUAGUAGUUUCCGUUAACCGACGUUGUAUUGCUCGUAUAAAAUUGUUCAAAUGUUCAAAUCACAGUCUCCCGCUCUCAGCUCAGUCAGAGUUUCCAGGUCCAGAGACUUCCCGCUGACUGAGAACUUUUUCGUAGCAGGUCUACAAAUAAUGGAGUAGAGCUGAUUUUAUGAUUAAUUUAUUUCCUUUUUCAAUUUCUCUUGAUUGCGAUUUAAUCUGGAAAGUUAAACGUGAAUUGUUUAGUGCGGAUUAAAUGUUCGACGAAUUUCCCACAAGAGUAUUAAGUUCAAGAGAAAAAAAGAAAACAAUUGAGCGUGAGCGUGAGCGAGAAUGGUGUUUGGGCAAGUGGUGAUUGGUCCGCCCGGCUCGGGAAAGACCACUUACUGCAAUGGCAUGUCUCAGUUUCUCAGCCUUGUUGGCAGGUAACUUCGUUUCUUGAUUUCAAGCAGCUUUAUCUUCGAUGACCAAAAAUAUUGAUUUGGGCUUUGCCAUUAAAUGAAUGUAAGAGCAGUAGGGAAUAACUGAGUUAUAGGAUUAGCUUUAAGUGAACAUUGAUGGUAAUGUGAAGGUUGUAUGUGUUCAGUGGCAAGCUGUAUGCCAAUUUGGUCUAUAUGGUUGCUUAGGUAGUAACUUAUUAAUUUUUAGGCAGGAAGGUUGCAGUCAUCAAUUUAGUUCCUGCUAAUGAUAGUUUGCCGCAUCCUUUGUCAUUGAACUUUCUUACAAAUGCUGUGGUUUGUUGUAGUAUAAUUAGUUCAAUUGGAAAUUUCCUUGAUGUUAAUAUAGAAAUGAGUGUGCUGUGAAUAUUGAGGACCUCAUUAGACUAAGUGAUGUGAUGAUGGAGUAUUCACUUGGUCCCAAUGGAGGUUAGUCAGCCUAUUGUUGUUUACUCUUUCUUGCUUUAUCACGCAAUGAUAUUCCUUUGCUUUACAACAAAUUUCAUGAAAUUAACUUCAAUCAAGUGGCAAUGUUCAUACGCUGUUGAGAUUUUAUGGACAAUGAUUUGGUAGAAUUUAUAUGCCGUCUUCUUUCUUUUUGCAGUGAUAUGCUUGUAUUCAAUGAGCUUGUACUUAUUCUAUGGUUUCUAAAGUAGGUGUUUUUAUGAUAAACUAGGUCUUGUGUAUUGUAUGGACUAUCUAGAGAAGAAUAUUGACUGGCUGCAGUCGAAAUUGGAACUACUUUUGAAAGGUAAGUAGAGGCCAUUUUCCUUCAUUCUAAUGCCAAUAAUGCUGUCAUGAGACUCAUAAAAAUUGUUAAAACGUUAAUGUUUUUGGUAUUUUGCAGAUCGUUAUCUUCUGUUUGAUUUUCCUGGCCAAGUUGAAUUAUUUUUUCUUCAUUCCAAUGCCAAGACUGUUAUAAUGAGACUCAUAAAUAAGUUAAAUCUCAGGGUAUUGUUACAUCUUACAUCUAUGAAGGGACUCAAAGAGUUGAGAUGAAUUCAUCUUUGUUAUUUUGAUGCCAGAAUUGUGCAAUUCUCAGUUUGUUCCUUUCACAUGCAGUUGACUGCAGUGCAUCUAGUUGAUGUGCAUCUUUGCAGUGACCCCAGGAAGUAUGUUAGUGCUUUGCUUCUCUCAUUGUCUACGAUGCUACAUCUGGAACUUCCCCAUGUCAAUGUCUUGUCUAAUCGAUCUGAUUGAGAAUCAUGGAAAGCUAGGUGUGGUUUUAAGUGUAGCUCUCCUGCUUGUUUGUUUAGUUUGAAAUAUCAGAUAUUGUCACAAGAUCCUAUUUGCUACAUUUCCUCACCAAUCAAUUAUUUUGGGUCUGUUGCAGCUUUUAAUCUCGAGUACUAUACAGAUGUGCAAGAUUUGUCAUAUUUACAGCAUGCUCUCGGUCAGGACCCUCGUUCUGCUAAGUACAGGUUUGAAUUCUAGCUGAAUCAAUGAUGCAAAUUAUGUCCAUUGUUAUUUCUGCUGUUGUUUCUAUCAUUUUCAAUUGUUACUUCCCCUUUCCAUCUACUACCACACUACAAUACCCACACAAAUGUUGUGAAAUUUGUCAAUGGAAAAAAAACAGUUCCUCUUUUAUUUUGAUCAGACUCAAUGAAUAAGUGGUUAAAAUGUGCCUGUCCUAGAAAUAUAGAUGUGUGGUUUCGUAAAAUUUUCUUGAUCUUAAGAAAGAGUUAUCUCGAAAAGAAGAUAACAUGGAGAAUUCAACAACUAUACAGUCAUAUUGAUGUCUGUCAACUUGGGUCAUAUGGUGUCGUUUGGAUGGAGAUGUUAGGUCCCAGAUGGUAAACUUGUUAUCGAAUUCCAGUCUACUUCAUUCAUGCUUUGAUGACAUAUACGGUGCAGCUUCUUAUCUAAGACCUGCAUAUGUUCAAUCAUCAUUCUGUUCUGUAUUUGGCUGCCAUUCUUUUCAAUGAAUUCAAACCACUUCUGAAUACUUGCAAAUUCAUCCAGUGUUGUCAUUGAGAUGCCAAUAUGAAAGGAAGCCAUAAUUGCCCUUGAUAGUAUGCUUAUUGAUUGCCUCUUGCCUCACUCAGCCUCAUGAAUCUGCUUGUAUGGUGUUCUUGUAAUUUCAUUUGGAGAUUAGUAAUAUCUGUUGUUCAAAUGUAUUUUAUAUACCAGCAGUUAAUAAUUCUGCUUGCAGAAAGCUUACAAAGGAGCUGUGUGAUGUAAUUUUUCAACCUUAGAUAUCCAGGUCAUCAGUUUCUCUUGAAUUCUUUCUUGAAUUUCUUUGAAUUAUUUGUGAAUAAGAUCUUAGUUGGCUGCUUCUCUUCAGGAUAAGGAAAGUGUGGCAAAACUCGUGAAGCUGAUAUAUAAAAGCAAUGGGUACAUCUUUGCUGGCAUGGAUGCCAGUGCAGUUGAAUUCAGCAAGAUUGCCGUUCGCGAUGUUGAUUGGGAUUAUUUCGGAUAUCCUUCUUUUCACCUAUUUUCAAUGUUGUUAUUCUCAUAUUCAUAAAAUUUUUUGGUUAUUUAAUUAUGGUUCAUCAUAUGCAUCUGCAUCUUCUAACUUGUUCGUUUGAGAAACUAAUUUUGCCGUUAGGUAGGCUUCGAGCUUGAUGAGUUGAUUCAUGCUUUUUUCAUAAAUGUACCAAAAUCAUGGAAACUUCUUUUUCCCAGAUAUUGUAUCCACACUUUUUCCAUGUAAUUGGGUCAGACAAGUUUUGCUUAACAAAGAUAUCUACAGUAGCCGAAGUGCAGGAGAAGUACAUUAAGGAUGAUGAUGAUGUUAACUAAAAUGAGACGUGAAGAUAUGUGGUGUGCGAACCGUAAGCCUGCCUCUUAAUUUUGUGCAUGUUUACUUGCUUGUGAUUCACGUUUGUUAAUCUAUUUUGCUCUCUUGCAGGAGUUAUAAAGUUUUCAAUCAAUCAAACAUUUAACUUAAGUCCUUACCUCUUGCUGCAAAGACAAUGGGAAGUCUCAUGAGCUCUAAAAAAACUGAAGAAGAGUGGAAAAUAAUUUUAAAUAGUGAUUUAUGGAAGGUAAAAGAGAUCGAGAAAGGUGUUCUAACCCCUUUGUGGUUGAGUUAUAAUGAUUUGCCGUCCAGAGGAAAAAGAUGUUUCUCGUAUUGUGCUGUCUUUCCAAAAGACUACAAUAUAAAAAAAGACAAAUUAAUUACUUUGUGGAUGGCUCAAGGUUAUCUUAGUGCAGAAGCAGCAGAACAAGAUGAGGAGUUGGAGACUAUAGGUGAAGAGUAUUUUGGCAUCUUAGCUUCUCGCUCUUUCUUUCAAGAGUUUCAGAAACGUUAUGAUAAUCGUAUUAUAGCGUGCAAGAUGCAUGAUAUGGUACAUGAUUUUGCCCAAUUUGUUAGUCAAAAUGAAUGUUUUUCGUUGGAAGUUAAUGGUAGUGAGGAACUAACCGUCACAAACUCUACAAACUCUCUUGAUGAGAAGGUCCGUCAUUUAAUGUUAAUCUUUAGUAAAGGGACUUCAUUACCUGUUUCCACUCGUAGAGUUAAAAGAAUGCGUACCCUCUUAAUUAACGAUAGUAGAUCUGAUCAUUCAUUAUUAAAUGGUGAGAUCCUAGAAGAAUUAUUUAGGGAAUUGACAAGUUUAAGGGCAUUAGAUUUUGGCAAAUCGUAUAACUCAAGUUGGUCUUCGACUGUGGAGAUUCCGAGAACCAUAGAAAAGCUGGUACAUUUAAGAUACCUUAAUUUGUUUUAUCAGGGAAUAAAGAAACUACCGGAGACAUUAUGCGAGUUGUAUAAUCUAGAAAAGUUAGAUAUUAGUUUAUGUUUUAAUCUUAAAGAAUUACCUGAAGGGAUUGGGAAGUUAAUAAACAUGAAGCAUUUACGAAAUAGAGGUACUAGUUCUUUAAGGUACAUGCCAGUAGGGAUUGGGAGAUUAACGGGUCUCAGGACCUUGGAUGAGUUCCACGUGAGUGGAGGAAAGCGUGUAGGCUUGAAUCUCUUAAAAAAUUGGAACACCUUCAAGUAUGUGGUAUACGUAGACUGGGUGAUGUAUCAGAUGUGGGCGAGGCUAAGCGAUUAGAACUUGACAAAAAGAAAUACCUCUUCAGUUUGACCCUUGAGUUUGAUAAGAAGGAGGAAGAAGAAGGAGAAAGGAGGAAGAACGAGGACGAUCAAGUUCUUCUUGAAGCCCUACAACCACCUCUCAAUUUAAAGGAAUUAGAGAUAGAGUACUACCGAGGCAACACUGUUUUCCCCAGCUGGAUGACGUCAUUAACCAACUUAAAGAGUUUAGAUCUCUCUUCCUGCGAAAAUUGGGAGCAGCUGCCUCCUUUGGGAAAAUUGCCAUCCCUUGAAGCACUCAGCCUAUGGGACAUGAAGUGUGUGGAAAGAGUGGGUGAUGAAUUUUUGGGGAUAGAAAGUGAUCAUCAUGGCUCAUCUUCAUCGGUUAUUAUUGCCUUCCCCAAAUUGAAAUCACUUUCAAUUGAGGUUCUGCGCGAAUUGGAGGAGUGGGAUUAUGGGAUUACAAGAACGGGAAACACCGUCAUCAACAUCAUGCCACGUCUUUCUUCCUUGACAAUUGCACUUUGCCCCAAAUUAAAGGCACUGCCCGACCACUUUCAUCAAACGACAACAUUGAAGGAAUUGCACAUUUGGGAUUGCAGGCUUCUGGAAGAACGUUAUUGCAAGGGGGAAGGAGAAGACUGGCCUAAGAUAUCACACAUUCCCAACCUCCAUAUUGGGCUUUGACAAGUAAUUUCUUCUCUUACUCUGAUUUGCUUUGUUGUUGUUUUUAAUCUAAUUAAGAAGCGUAAAUAGCAUUUUGAAUCAAACUCUAUAUCAGAAAUCUGCAAUACUUACUUUCUAAUAUUCUGAUUUUCAUAUCCUAUGAAUAUACGAUUUUUAAUUUGUGAGAUGGGUAACGUUACUGUAAAAGAUUAUUAAUGCAAUAUGAGUAAUUCUUUUGCAGGACAAGUGACCUACAUUUAGUUUGGCUUUGGAGUUGAAUAAUAACCUUUCGAGGUCCCGACAACCAAAAAACGAAGCUUAAUUUGCCACAGAUUGCACGUAUUGCCAUUAUUGACAAUUUUCUGCACAAGCUUAGGUUGAUGUCAAAAGAGGUAAAUUAUUGGCAUGCCUGACUAUUUUGACCAUUACACGAUUCAUAAGUUUACAUUAAUUUUGAUUUUGAGUUGAGUGAUUAGUUUUCUAGGUUUGCUUACUUUAACUGGGUGACCAAUUUCUUGUAACUAAAUGUAUGAUGUGAAGCAGAACUCAAACAAAAGUAUGCUACUUCUUGCGGAAAUCUUGCCUUUGUUCAGAUUAUGAAACCAUUUCCAUGCAGCAAAUUCAUCCAAAAGUUUGAAUAAGUUUCACGGUUGGACACUGUUGGUUUCUUUUUCUUCUGGGGUGCAUUUAGGUGCUAUCAAGUGACAGCUGUAAGUAUGAUUGCACUAAGCUGCCGCUGGGAAAUUUGAGGUUUUGAUGGCUGCCCAUGUUAUUUUCAAGAAACUAUUGAUGUAAGAAGCUGUGGUUCUUUUCAUCAGCUUGAACCUGAAACUGUCGCUAUGGAUAACUCAGGUUUUUGUUAUCAACUAUAUCAUCUUUUUCACUAUUUUGAAACUCUUAAGAUUAAACUUUAGUAAAGUUGUUUCAGCUUUUCAAAUGAAAAACUCAUUGAUUUGAGACUUCCUUCAUUAUUGUUUCUAAUUACAAUGCUAACGAUCCAGAUAAGAUAAUAUUUAAUCGGCGAAGGUGUCCCUUGGAAGUACAUCCUUCUUUUUCUUUUAUUAUACAAAUUCUUGCAAUGAGCUUAGUGAAGCUGUUGUGCUAAUCAUGCCACUGCAUAAUUUGGCCCCUAAUGUGGGUACUCUGUUACAUUGUUCUGCAAAUUCUCCAGAAGUUAAAAUCAAUAAAUUUUCUAUUAGCUCUAGUGCUUUGACCUAAAUGCUAUUCUAUAUUCUGAUUACAAUGUUUUACCUUUAAAUUAACUACCCCUAGAUGUUGGAUUUUCUAGAACUUCAAAAUGAUUAAUGGAGAAAGAUCCCAUUAUCGUUAUUGCUAUAAAAAAUUGAUUUAUGCAUCCAAAGAUACAUUAUAUAUUUCUGUGUCUCUAUUUAUAGAUGACAUUUAAGCAUCCAUAAACCGUCAGACAGAGGAAGGGGGUUCAGUGCAAAGAUUCUGUUGACCUAGGGUUGACUGCAUAAUGUCACUUGUUCGCAAUCUAUUAUUCUUUUCAAGGUCUGCUUCCUUAACGGAGCGACCAAUGUUUUUCAACUAAAUUUAUCAUAUGAUGCAGGAAGCAGGGCAGGAUAUGAAAUGUGAAGCUCAUUGGUGGAAGUAUUGCCAGUAACAGAACCCAAAGAAAAUGAAACUAUUUCAAGGCAGCAGUUGGCAGUUGCAAGUGAAUGGAGGCCCUUGACAAAAUUCUCAAGCGGUUGCAAUGCAAUUACGAUCAUCCUCAGCCUCAGGUAAUUUCUUCUCCUGCUUUGUAUUUAUUUGUUAUCUAAUUAGGAACCGUAAAGUAUCUUGAAUCAUUUUCUGUAUCUGGAAUAUAUGCAAGAGUUUCUAAAAUUUUGAUAUGAGUGUAAUGAUGGUAAUUUCUGUUUUCUGUCUGUCAUCAAAUGUUAGAAAACUUUCAUUGAGACCCUUGAACCGAGUCAUUUUUGACAAGUGAAGUGCUGAAGAGUGAAGAGUAAGAAUGGUGCUAGAUUGGGGAAUAAAGCAAAAGGAGGUAAAUUAUUGGCAGCUUCUUCAACCUUAUUUUCUUUGGACCAGUGCCUAAUUCACAAGUCUCCAUAAUUCGGCUUUUGACCAGUUGAUAGAUAAAAUUUUAAUUUCAUUGGUGCUAAUGUACCCGUGAGGCAGGCAGAGAAGGACUGUGGAAAAGAGAAGGUUUUUAGUGAAAGCUUAAACUCAGGUAAUUCUAAAAAUUAUAUGUUUUGGCUGAUUUAUCUAAAUCAGGAAAUUUUAUUUCCAUCUGUUACAAUAAAACAGAAACAGAACACAAAGAAAAAUAUUCUACUUCUUGUGGCAAUCUUGCCUUCAUUCAGACUAUGAAACCAUUUCCUUUCACCAAUUUCUUCCAAAAGUUUGAACACAUUUCAUGGUUGGACAUAGUUAGCUUCUUUUUCUUUUGGUGCAUUUAGGUGCUAUCAAGUGACAGCCGUAAGUAUGAUUGCAUUAUUGGGAAAUUUUAGGUUUUGAUGGCUCCCCAUGUUAUUGCCAAGAAAUUUUAAGUCCUCGUGUCAGAAGCUGCGUUUCUUUUCAUCAGCCUGAACCCGAACCUGUCACUAUGGAUAACUGAGGUUUUUGUCAUCAACUAUAUCAUCUUUUUCACUGUUUUGAAACUCUUAAGAUUAAACUUCAGUAAAGUUGUUUCAGUUAUCCAUGUAAUCAGGCUAAGGAUAUUUAGCAGCUUAUUUAGGCAACUGCCAGAAUUCAGUUUGUUCGCUCGAAACUUGUAUGGUGACAAGGAUACUGGCAAGGAUAGUGAGAUAGUUUUUUGUGUGAGUGAAUUUUGAAAGCUUGGGUGUUCUGGGAUUUGCAAUUGCAAUCAUCCUCUGCUUUAGGUGAUUUCUUCUCCUGUUCUGUCUUUAUUUUCUCUCUAAUUGAAAGCAUUUCAAUCAAAUUCUGUACCAGGAAUACGAAAAAUUUACCAAUAUUUUAUUUCCAUCUGUUUGCAUUGAUAACUUGGCCGCAUAUGUACUAGUUAAAGAACAAACAGAAGCAGAGUUCAGGAAAAAGUUUCUUCGGCCACCAUAUUUGAAAAUGAAACCAUUUCCAGGAAGCAGUUGGCAGCAAAUUCAUACAAAGUAUAGACAAUGAUGAACAAAAAGGUGAUUCGCAAUUUCAUUUUUUUAAAAUGAAAUUAUUUGUUAAGUUGGAGCUGAUAUUGUUAGAAGGCCAUUGAGCUAACCUCUGACACUGCUUGCCUAGAUUGCAGGAGGUCAAGACUCAAAAGAUGCACUGAAUUUUAAAAGGCAUGCAAUAAUUCUUAUGGCCAUUUGUCAAUGGUGGAAUGCUUUUAGCUUCUUUUCCUUUUGUGCAUUUUGGGGUUCUAUCAAGCGACAGCCGUAUGUAUGGAUGGAUAUAGCUGCUGCGUUGAUUUCUAAUGCAUUGUAUGAUGUUAUAGCAACUAUCCAUCUGGUCAAUGUUUCAAAAGAAUAAGACAGGGAAAAAGAGAAAGCAAGUGGCCAAUCAAGUUGCAUCAACCAAAUUGUUGUUAAACAAGUAAAACAAAGAAAGAGAGUUAAGGAAGCUGACCUUGUAGUAGGGGAGCUGAAGAAAGGCUGCCAGUGAAUGUAAGAGAAAAUAAAAUGCAAGAAAUGGUGAAGUGCAGCUUUUCAUGUCAACUUGAAAUUGAUUUUUCUGUUUGUUUUUUUUUUUUUGUAAUCUUUUGGAUUUUUCAAACAAAGAAAAUGAGGAGCAACCAGGGAGAUAAAAAGGGCGCCAAGGCAACUGUGUGUUGGGUUUAGAGCCAAAAAUAAAUAAAUAAAUAAAUAAGACAUCGUGUUCUUGUGGAGACCAGACCUAUUACGUAACGUCCCCUUCAAUACCACUUGUUCCGUAUCUGGUUUUCUCUUCGUCGUUUACAUAUUUAUCCUGUGAUUUUACAAUAACUAAAUAAUCCCCGCAUAGUUUGCAAUUUUAUUCAUUUGGGCCCUACAGAUUUCAGUAAUAGGAAUUAUUAAGGGACAAGAGCGCAAAACAGAAACUCUGUCCACUACUGAUGAUAUAAUAACGAACCUUUGUUUUUUUUUUUUAAAAAAAAAAAGAGUAACAAAAUAUCAUUAGACAAAUGAAAAUAUUAUCUAACAUCACCUAUUCACCUUACUGAUGAUAUGAAAAUAUGUAUGUAUGUAUGUAUGUAUGUACAUAUAUACAUACACCUAUGUAACAUUUACUUAUACAUUCUUUUGAGUUUAAAUCUUAAUACAACUACAUACAACCACAUCAAUGUAUAUAUUUUUUACAUAAGACAUGCCGUCCUAUUAUUCAUAAGUAAACAAUGUGCCGUAAAUAGUAUUCUGUGUUUUCUCAAAGUUGACUUUUCGUCUUUUAUUUUCAGACGCAGACGCUAUGUCAUUUUGUAAUCGUCCGAACAUAUACAGAGCAGAAUUGGUGUUAUCUGAUUUUGUGAUGCAAUAAGAUUUGCACUUCCUGUGCAUUCAAUGGAAUCAUGCCACGCUAGUAGACAAUAUGCUAGUUUGAACAAACUUGUUUGAAUGGCAAAAACGACAUGACCUGCUGUAGUAUUAAUUCUUUCCCGAACCAACGGGUGAUUUGCUACGUUGGAUCAUGAAAAUUAACCAAAAUAAAAAUUCUUAAGGAAUUAGUUAGUUAAUUGAUUGAUCGAAUUUAAUCUAAAUUUGAAAAUGAUAAGAUAAAUUUAAAUUUAUUAUUAUUAUUAUUAUUAUUAUUUUAAAGUGGGUGGGUUUAUACAAUUUGAGCGGUGGAAAUAUCACUGCUGAAUUAUUAAAUAUACAGUGUAAAAUUUUGACCUUUAAAAUAUUCCCUUUUUUUUUUUAUUUAGCACUAUAAGUUUAAAAAUUUAACAUUUUACCUCAAUAAUUAAAUACUUUUAACUUUAAUCUUCAAAUAUUUACCCUACAACAUUUGGACCUAAAUUUUUAAUCCGACUCGGCCCCUGACCCAAGUGGGAAGAAGAUCAGGCUUAUAAGUUAUAACUAUCACCAACAUAACAUCUUCUGGAAAAUAAUAAGAUUACUCACCUGCAAUUAUGUGAUCAAACUAAUGGUAAGCAAAAUAGAACAGCGUUAUUUCAGUCCCCUUUCAGUUUCUUUAUCAUUUUUCUUUUCCUAUUUAUAAGCUUAAUUCGGUUCAAAAUCGGCUAAUUCACUUUGAUUUCACUUUUCUUUCUUUCGGUUCAAAAAAAUUGAACCCAUUGGCUGUCAAUUCAAUUUUGUUGAAAACCAACUUUGCCUGAAUUUAAGUAAUAAUAGAGGAAAAAAAAAGAGUACUUAGCAGAAGAGAUUUCUCAUUUUUUUCUCAUUCAAACUUCUAAAAUAAAAGAAAAAAAAACAAGAGUAAUUGUUAAUUAUCAAAAUUUUGUUUAUACUAUUCCACCAAGAAAAUUAUACAAAAAAAAAAAUUUUAAAAAUUGGAGAAGAAAUAUGAGGUGAAAUACGUGGAUGGCUUAGACUAAUAAUGUGAACAAAUUCCUCUUGGAAGCAUGUCAUUGUUCAUCCGGACAACACGCGGCGAUGAGAUUCGAGAAUAAAAGGAUAGGAAUCAACUGUAACCUCAUAAACAAAUGGCCUUGGAGUUGUAACCAAAGCUUUUAAUUAUUGAUCAUUAAGAUCGAUAUAAAGUAUCACGAAAUGAUGUGUACGACGACAAUAUCAAUAGCGUAGUGUGAAGACCUGGCUGUAAACACAAGGCUCGGCAGAUUAAUUAAACAAGAGUAUCCGAAUUUUCUAUGAUAAUCUCUAGGAAACGAUCAGCUAUAAUGUACGAAAUUAAAAUAUUGCAUAUAUUUUUGAAUUUUUGAACUCAUGCAUUAAUUUAAAAAAUUAUAUCGUAUUAUAAUUUAUUCACAAAAGAAAGAAAAAUUCACUAAUCAAGUGAAAUCGUAUUCUUAUUGAAAUGAAUUCCAGUAAUUGGAUAAAUAUAAGUAUUUCUUCCGUUGUAAUUUUUGUUUAACAGAAAAUCUAUUUGAGAUUUUGUGAGAAGAAACUCAACAAUAAAGUUUGAUAGACUUUGUGGAUAUUAAGAGUUUGACAAGUAAUUGAAAUCUGAAGUUUACUGAAAUUUACGAGCAAACAAACUGAAAUCCGAAGUUUACUGAAGUUUACUAUCAAGAGUUUCAAAACAGUGAAAAAGAUGAUAUAGUUGAUGACAAAAACCUGAGUUAUCCAUAGCGACAAGUAACAUACUGAAGUAAGCCGUUGGGAGCUGGCCUGUUCAUGGGCUAUUUUUCUCUGAUGAUCUGCAUUUUUCUUCCUUUUAAAGUGAACCUUGACUCGUAUCAAACCUGUCAAAAGAACAGUUCAUCAACUGAGCUGAGAUUUGCUUUCCUUUUUCAAAACCCACCUGAGAUAUUGUAAUUCCCAAAUUUCUCUCUCUCAGCUACACGAGCAAGCAGCCGCUUUUUCACUUCAUCGAAGAAGGUAAGCGAUUUAUCUAUUUCGUCCGAUUGAUUUCUUGUUUCGUUUUCAGUGUUCGGGUAAAUUAUUGGCAUGCCUGACUUUUUGACCAUUACAUGAUUCAUAAAUUUCUAUUAAUUUUGAUUUUGAGUUGACUGGUUACUUUUAUAGGUUUGUUUACUUUGACUAGGUGACCAAUUUCUUGUAACUAAAUUUAUGACGUGAUGCAGGAAGCUCGGCAGGAUAUGAAAUGAGAAUCUUAUUAGUGGAAGGAUUGCCAGUAACAGAACCCAAAGAAAAUGAAACCAUUUCAAGGCAGCAGUUGGCAGUUGGGAGUGGAUGGAGGCCCCUGACAAAACUUCAGUAAACUUCAGAUUUCAGUUUGUUUGCUCGAAACUUGCAUGGUGACAAGGAUACUGGCAAGGAUAAUGAGAUAGUUUUUGUGUGAAUGAAAUUACGAUCAUCCUCAGCCUUAGUUGUUAUUUGUUACCUAAUUAAGAAGCAUAAAGUAUCCUGAAUCAUUUUCGUUGUCUGGAACAUAUGAGUGUAAUGAUUGUAAUUUCUGUUUUCUGUCUGUCAUCGAAUGUAAGACAACUUUAUUAAGAUUCUUGAACCGAGUCAUUUUUGACAAUUGAAGGACAAGUGCUGAAGAGUGGGAAUGCAAAAAGUUUUGUUGUUUCUAGCCUUGUUUUCUUUGAACCAGCGCCUGAUGAUAUAACAGAAACAAGGCUAGAAACAACAAAAACUCUGUCCACUACUGAUGAUAUAACAACGAACCUUUGUUUUUUUCUUUUUUCUUUUUUUUUUUAAAAAAAGUAACAAAAUAUCAUUAGAGAAAUGAAAAUAUUAUCUAACAUCACCCUACUGAUGAUAUGAAAAUAUGUAUGUAUGUAUGUAUGUAUAUACGUAUGUAUGUACAUAUAUACAUACACCUAUGUAACAUUUAAUUAUACAUUCUUUUGAGUUUAAAUCUUAAUACACAUUUUCAUGAAAUUUUUAUUUUAUUAAGUAUACAACUACAUACAACUACAUUAAUGUAUAUAUUUUUUACAUAAGACAUGCCGUCCUAUUAUUCAUAAGUCAACAAUGUGUUGUAAAUAGUGUUCGUGUCUCAAAGUUGACUUUUCGUCUUUUAUUUUCAGACGCAGACGAUAUGUCAUUUUAUACACAGCAGAAUUGGUGUUAUCUGAUUUUGUGAUGCAAUAAGAUUUGCACUUCCUGUGCACUCAAUGGAAUCAUUUCUUUGUAACUAAUUGGGUGCUGGAAUGGUGGUCAAAUCUCGAACGAAGACAGAUCUAUCAAACUCCAGAAUUGGUGUUAUCUGAUUAAUUGAUUGAUCGAAUUUUAUCUAAAUUUGAAAAUGAUAAGAUAAUUUUGAAUUUAUUAUUAUAAUUAUUAUUUUAAAGUGGGGUGGGUUUAUACAAUUUGAGCGGUGGAAAUAUCACUACUGAAUUAUUAAAUAUACAGUGUAAAAUUUUGACCUUUAAAAUAUUCCCUUUUUUUUUUAUUUAGCAUCUAUAAAUUUAAAAAUUUAACAUUGUACCUCAAUAAUUAAAUACAUUUAACUUUAAUCUUCAAAUAGUUACCCUACAACAUUUGGACCUAAAUUUUUAAUCCGAUUCGGCCCCUGAUCCAAGUGGGAAGAAGAUCAGGCUUAUAACUAUCACCAACGUAACAUCUUCUGGAAAAUAAUAAGAUUAUUCACCUGCAAUUAUGUGAUCAAACUAACGGUAACCAAAAUAGAACAGCGUUAUUUGAGUCCCCUUUCAGUUUCUUUAUCAUUUUUCUUUUCCUAUUUAUAAGCUUAAUUCGGUUCAAAAUUGGCUAAUUCACUUUAAUAAGUUUAUUGGUUUGAACGCUGUUAGCUUCUUUUCCUUUCGUGCAUUUUGGUAUGCAACAGUUCUUGCCUAUGACACUGCUUGCCUAGAUUGCAGAAGGUCAAGGCUCAAAAGAAGCACUGAAUUUUAAAAGGCAUGCAACAGUUCUUGUGCCAUAUGUCAAUUCAUGCAAGUUUGAAUAAGUUUUUUGGUAUGCUAUCAAGUGACAGCCGUAUGUAUGGUUUGCAUAUAGCUGCUGCUGGGAAAUGUGAGGAUUUCAUGGCUGGCCGUGUUAUUGUCUUAAAUUAGAUGUGAUAAGCUGUUGCUUGGUGAUUCUGUUGCCAAGAAUUUGCUCACAUCAGAAGCUGUGGAACCUGAACCCUUCUCUAGAUAUCAUCUUUUUCAUUGUUUUAAAACUCUCAGGAUUAAACUUGAGUAAUUUUGUUCGGUUGUCUAUAUAAUCAUGUAUUGAGUAAACUCUCAGGAUACUGAGCAGGCAAAUGCCAUAACUCGGUUUGUUCUUCAAAAACUUGUUUAAGAUUCUUGACAAAGCUGCAUGAAGUGAAUCUUGGGAGCUUUGAGGGUGAGAGAAAUUAGAGGGUGUAUAGGGAUUUGGGCUUAUUAGGAAGUUAUAUAUGUAUUUCGUCACUUAUCAUUAUCAUUUUUUUUUUCACAGAAAACCUUCUGAUGGUGCUAAAUUUUCAAACACCGGUCCGAUUCAAAACUUCAUAUUCCAAUUAUAUUCAUAAGACAAAUGGAACACUUUGAACGGCUUGUGUCCGAGCAUUGUAGUUUGAUUUAUUUUGAUGACAGUACCUUUUGACAUUGAGAUUCUUUCAUGAUUUAAACAUUCUUUUAAAAACUAAAUUAUUAAAAAAAAAGUAACUAACAUAUAUUAUUUUAUUAGUGCUUUUUAAAUCAAAUAUACAUAGGAGAACUGUAAUUCUUAGCAAUCAAUUUUCCACUAAAUACACCUGCAACAAACUAUUAAUAGCAAAGUGAUAGAAAAUACCUGAUUUUUCAUACUUUCUAAUUUCUUUUGGUCCUAAAAUAUGGGCAUUUGUGUAAUAAUUAGCCCAUGUGGAUCUCUAUGCCAUGAGUUUGAUAAGUAGCUAUCAAGGAUCACUUAUUAAGCUAAAAAUAUUUGGAGGACAAAAUUGUAAAACUAAAAGGGUGGAGCAAAUAUGGCUAUCUAGGAUUAAAUAGUAAGUCAACUAUAUUUAAAGGAUAAAAUAUUAAAACUUGAAAUGUGAUAUUAAAAAUAUCUCAACUAUUAUGUUAUUAAACCAUAUGUUGUAAUAGUUUAUUUUUUAAGCUUCAAAAUGUUCAGGAUUUUAGAUUGAAACAUUUUCAUUUGAAAUUAUUUGGUGCAGUCACAAGUUAAGAAAGAAAAAGUUGUCCCAUUGGUCAUUUCACAAAAAUGAAAGCCCUGUAUAACAUGGGCUUGAAUGGAAGCCCAAUUGUUUGUGUUUGAUUAAUUGAUUUCAAGCUUUAUCGAACCUUUGUACCUGGAUACUUUACUGCGGCCUCUAAGCGCUAUAAAUUUUUUUGGGGAUAAACGGCGCUUCAAUGAGGUCAUCUCCGAUGCUUAACACCAUUUUGGUGUAAUACCAACAUUAAAAAUAUACAUUUUUCACACUAAAUUACUAUUUCAUCUCCAACCCAUUUACACCAAAAAAAAUAUUUUUCUUUUUAUUCUUUUAAUUCUCAAGAAUUAAUUCAAUUAACACAAUAAAUACUACUAUUAACAUAGAUAAUUAAGUAAUAAGUAAUUUUAUCGAUU